AAAUGCGAUAAGUAAUGUGAAUUGCAGAAUUCAGUGAAUCAUCGAAUCUUUGAACGCACUUUGCGCUCCUUGGUAUUCCUUGGAGCAUGCCUGUUUGAGUAUCAUGAAAUCUUCAAAGUAAAUCUUUUGUUAACUCAAUUGGUUUCUACUUUGGUAUUGGAGGUCUUUGCAGCUUCACACCUGCUCCUCUUUGUUCAUUAGCUGGAUCUCAGUGUUAUGCUUGGUUCCACUCGGCGUGAUAAGUUAUCUAUCGCUGAGGACACUGUAAAAGGUGGCCAAGGUAAAUGCAGAUGAACCGCUUCUAAUAGUCCAUUGACUUGGACAAUACUUUUAUGAUCUGAUCUCAAAUCAGGUAGGACUACCCGCUGAACUUAAGCA
rnacentral:misc_RNA from 1 species